rnacentral:rRNA from 1 species
GAUGAACGCUGGCGGCGUGCCUAAUACAUGCAAGUCGAGCGAACAGACGAGGAGCUUGCUCCUCUGACGUUAGCGGCGGACGGGUGAGUAACACGUGGAUAACCUACCUAUAAGACUGGGAUAACUUCGGGAAACCGGAGCUAAUACCGGAUAAUAUAUUGAACCGCAUGGUUCAAUAGUGAAAGACGGUUUUGCUGUCACUUAUAGAUGGAUCCGCGCCGCAUUAGCUAGUUGGUAAGGUAACGGCUUACCAAGGCGACGAUGCGUAGCCGACCUGAGAGGGUGAUAGGCCACACUGGGACUGAGACACGGUCCAGACUCCUACGGGAGGCAGCAGUAGGGAAUCUUCCGCAAUGGGCGAAAGCCUGACGGAGCAACGCCGCGUGAGUGAUGGAGGUCUUCGGAUCGUAAAACUCUGUUAUGAGGGAAGAACAAAUGUGUAAGUAACUAUGCACUUCUUGACGGUACCUAAUCAGAAAGCCACGGCUAACUACGUG